rnacentral:rRNA from 1 species
CCUACGGGAGGCUGCAGUGAGGAAUAUUGGUCAAUGGACGAGAGUCUGAACCAGCCAAGUAGCGUGAAGGAUGACUGCCCUAUGGGUUGUAAACUUCUUUUAUAAAGGAAUAAAACGAGGCACGUGUGCCUUUGUGCAUGUACUUUAUGAAUAAGGAUCGGCUAACUCCGUGCCAGCAGACGCGGUAAUACGGAGGAACCGAGCGUUAUCCGGAUGUAUUGGGUUUAAAGGGAGCGUAGAUGGGUUGUUAAGUCAGUUGUGAAAGUUUGCGGCUCAACCGUAAAAUUGCAAUUGAUACUGGCAGUCUUGAGUACAGGUGAGGUAGGCGGAAUUCGUGGUGUAGCGGUGAAAUGCUUAGAUAUCACGAAGAACCCCGAUUGCGAAGGCAGCUUACUAAACUGUGACUGACAUUGAUGCUCGAAAGUGUGGGUAUCAAACAGGAUUAGAUACCCGGGUAGUC